UACCAAGGCGACGACGGGUAGCCGGCCUGAGAGGGCGAUCGGCCACACUGGGACUGAGACACGGCCCAGACUCCUACGGGAGGCAGCAGUGGGGAAUAUUGCACAAUGGGCGCAAGCCUGAUGCACGGACGCCGCGUGAGGGAUGACGGGCUUCGGGUUGUAAACCUCUUUCAGUAGGGACGAAGCGCAAGUGACGGUACCUACAGAAGAA
rnacentral:rRNA from 1 species